rnacentral:ncRNA from 1 species
UUGAGCCGUAUGAUGGGAAACUGUCAUGCACGGUUUUCAGGGGACAAAAGAGUGGCAACACUUUUCUGUUACCAUAC